rnacentral:tRNA from 1 species
GCCCAAGUGGCGGAAUUGGCAUACGCGGCAGGUUGAGGGCCUGUGCUCUUAUGGGCGUGGAGGUUCGAGUCCUCUCUUGGGCA